GAUGAACGCUAGCUACACGGUUUAACACAUGCAAGUCGAGGGGCAGCAUUUUAGUUUGCUUGCAAACUAAAGAUGGCGACCGGCGCACGGGUGAGUAACACGUAUCCAACCUGCCGAUAACUCGGGGAUAGCCUUUCGAAAGAAAGAUUAAUAUCCGAUAGUAUAUUAAAACCGCAUGGUUUUACUAUUAAAGAAUUUCGGUUAUCGAUGGGGAUGCGUUCCAUUAGUUUGUUGGCGGGGUAACGGCCCACCAAGACUACGAUGGAUAGGGGUUCUGAGAGGAAGGUCCCCCACAUUGGAACUGAGACACGGUCCAAACUCCUACGGGAGGCAGCAGUGAGGAAUAUUGGUCAAUGGACGAGAGUCUGAACCAGCCAAGUAGCGUGAAGGAUGACUGCCCUAUGGGUUGUAAACUUCUUUUAUAUGGGAAUAAAGUAUUCCACGUGUGGAAUUUUGUAUGUACCAUAUGAAUAAGGAUCGGCUAACUCCGUGCCAGCAGCCGCGGUAAUACGGAGGAUCCGAGCGUUAUCCGGAUUUAUUGGGUUUAAAGGGAGCGUAGGUGGAUUGUUAAGUCAGUUGUGAAAGUUUGCGGCUCAACCGUAAAAUUGCAGUUGAAACUGGCAGNCUUGAGUACAGUAGAGGUGGGCGGAAUUCGUGGUGUAGCGGUGAAAUGCUUAGAUAUCACGAAGAACUCCGAUUGCGAAGGCAGCUCACUAGACUGCAACUGACACUGAUGCUCGAAAGUGUGGGUAUCAAACAGG
rnacentral:rRNA from 1 species